rnacentral:rRNA from 1 species
AGUGAACGCUGGCGGUAGGCCUAACACAUGCAAGUCGAACGGCAGCACAGUAAGCGCUUGCUCUUACUGUUGGCGAGUGGCGGACGGGUGAGGAAUACAUCGGAAUCUACUUUUUCGUGGGGGAUAACGUAGGGAAACUUACGCUACUACCGCAUACGACCUACGGGUGAAAGCAGGGGAUCUUCGGACCUUGCGCGAUUGAAUGAGCCGAUGUCGGAUUAGCUAGUUGGCGGGGUAAAGGCCCACCAAGGCGACGAUCCGUAGCUGGUCUGAGAGGAUGAUCAGCCACACUGGAACUGAGACACGGUCCAGACUCCUACGGGAGGCAGCAGUGGGGAAUAUUGGACAAUGGGCGCAAGCCUGAUCCAGCCAUACCGCGUGGGUGAAGAAGGCCUUCGGGUUGUAAAGCCCUGUUGUUGGGAAAGAAAAGCAGCAGGUUAAUACCCCGAUGUUCUGACGGUACCCAAAGAAUAAGCACCGGCUAACUUCGUG